UGAGACAGAACAACAGAAUUUCCAAGUCCCCAGAGAAGCGCUGGUGCUCCGAUUAGACAAAAACCCCAGGAAUUUGAGCCGGGCUAAGGAUGAAUUUAAAAGCCUAGCUAUUUGGGGAUUUUUUUUUUUCUUUCCCCUUUCUGUCCCUUUUUUCAUCAGGAACAAAGGCAAAUAAGCAGAAAACAAAAUUGCCGCAGAGAUCACAAAACAUUUUCGAUGCAAUUAAGGCGGCGUCAUUUCUCCCUUAACAAGAAAGCGCCCGGAGGAAGCGUUUCUGCCAUCCCUGCAAACUAGGGACAAAGGGAAAAAAUGUGGUCUCAACAGCACACUGCUGGCUUCCACACCACGCCUGCGGUGAGCGCUGGGAAGGCUUCCAAGGGUGGACAAGCGUCUAGCAAGCCACACUUCCCAGAUCCUCCCUGCGCCGAGCACGCCAGGGAAGGACUAGGUGGCCUCUCCGGCUCCAAGUAGGCCCGCCCCCGCCGCCAUGAUGUUGUUUUCCCCAGUCCGGCCGCCCGGCCACGUGGCACACCGAUGCGACAGCGGAGGCCCCGCCCUCACUUCCGGCCAAACCGGUUCCAGCCGGCCGCGGCCCUCAGACGUGCGGUUGCCCCCUGGUGGCCACCGCAGGCUUCCGGCCGCGCCCUGUCGCGCCGCCAUUGCCUGCCCAGUCAGCUGCACGUUAGCAGCGUGUGUGGGCGGGGCUGCCGGAGCCGCGUGACCCCGGUGCGGGCGUUUGCCACGUGGUCAACCUGGGUCGCCUGUAGCCUCCGCGCCCUCAGCACAGGUGUUGGCAGCUAUUACCUCCUGUUUGGCUCCCUGUACUGCAGGCUCCAUGAGGAACCCAGACCCUCCUGACACACAGGCAUAGAACACCCAGGAAUGAUGCAGGAGGUGGUGGAUCCACAAGA